AAUCGAAGGAACUCUUUAUCGGCCACGUCCACGUCGCGUUGCGGGGAACGAGAAACGUAAAUUACGAAUCGGUUCUACGGAUCGACGGUAUUCGCGCGUCGCUUGCGCCAUGCACCGCCUUUACGAUAAUUUACUGUUUAUUUACUCGACUGUAAUCUCACCGGCGAUAAAUAUCCGGCGAGGGAUCGCGAGUGUUGCGUUUUUAUUGUGGUCGAUCGAGGGACACCGAUCGUUCGUUCCCACAUGGUCGCAUGGAAGGUCGAGCGCGGUUGAGAAAAGAACCAACGGUUAACAAUGUAAGGGGCGAUUCGAAGACAUUUCGAAACGGCGCGUUUGACGCCGAUAAAAUAAUGAACAAACGCGCGUUUGUCAUCGCGGCGACAGGUAUCCGCCUGGCGAUACCUGGACCCGCGAGCCGAGAUAAGCAUAAUUUACCGAGGAGAAUGCUUAAAAGAGCGAGCAUUAUCUUCUCAUGUAAACUAUACGCAACGGAGAGUAUGUCUCUCACGUGCGCGCGAUUAUUUCUCGCUACGCGGAAACGGUUAAAGACAAUAUCGUGAAAAUAUGGCUAUUGUGUAUCUGGGCGAGAUUAUCUAGCUAAACAUCGGACUGUACCUGGCAGAUCGAUACGUUAUCGCGGCCCAGAAUCCAAUCGGCAGUAUACGAGUUCCACGAUGUUGCUUAAAUAUGAAAACGUUCGCGAUUUAUACCACAGAGUGAGGUAUGAAAGGGAAUAACGGCGUGAAAAUACGGAGUAAAUUUGCGUAACUCUCAAUUUUCUUCGUAAAACUAUAUCGUAUUUAUUAUCUAGCUAAACGAAAGAAAACAACACGAUGUUCCAGAAGCACGCAAGAGAGAAUCUUGGAGGAGUCGAGCACCUAUCGUUAACUCGAUCGGCCUCGUCGUCCCUGACAAUUUCAUUUGCUCCGUUAUCUGUCGACCUAUCGUCCGGGACAUUCGUUACACGUUCGUUAAAAGAUGUAACCGAGCGUUGCGACCGAUAAUGAACCAGACACUCUCGGAUCGAAACGAAUGGAAGCGGAUAAGCCGGGUGCGUUGGGCUAUUUGUUGCUACAACGCAACUGCGCGUCGCUCGUUAGGAUACCGGGUUAUCCCCCGUGUCGUUGAUCCAGUUUUCACGCUCGCACGCUACCAGAAGAGAAGAACAAAACGAAAAGGAGGCAAUAAAUACGGCGAAAGCCGAUCUAGCGAAUAUUUCUGCCGAUCUUGUCGAUACGGCGGCGUAACGAAUCCCGUCCGCUCGUGGAAUUUAUUUCGAUCGGGAAAGUCGACGCUCAACGAAUAUAUCAUGGAAUUUUACAAUAUGCUUCGUGUUGCUACGCGUGUCGGUGACCGGACACACCGUUGCACCAAUAAUCACACCUACGUCUUAUCGUUUGCGAUCGAACGCCGAUGCAAAUCCGCUACAACGGUCGCAACGCGACCAACAAAGAGCCGAGUCGACAGCAAACAGGGAAAAACAAAUCGGUUUUCUAAUUUACACGCAACGUUAAACCCAACAUUUUUUCCCGCGGACGGUCCUCGAGUCCCACGGUCGAAACAAUAACGGAUGAUCCUCGGGUCCAACGACGUCCGCUAUGAACAGGAUAAUCCUAUGAUCCACGUCUGCCACCCACCUGUACACCCACCGAGUUAAGCAAACGCGGGUGAACACAGUGUCGAUUAUUCAUAGGGGAUCGUUGCACCAGGACGCGGUUAACUCGUCGAUUUACUCAACACGCGUAUCCCUGUGUCUCUGUACGUGAUUCGUGUUCCACGGAUUGUUCGUCCGCGAUGGAACACGCUCAACACUCGGACACCGAGGACCCACGUUUACCUCAGCCACCCACGCGUCUCGAUUUUUCGUCGUUCCUCACCGCAGUCACGGGAACGUGGCAGAUAGGGAUGGUAAUUUACCGUCAUUAUAGGUAACUAAGACGGGCGACGUGCGCCAAUGGCGUCCAAACCGUUCUCAUCGAAGGCUGAAUUUCACAGCCUCGUUACCGGUCGUUGAAAUAAACACUCGAUUUUAGUGAGCGUCGGGAAUCGAAAACGAUGGCUCGCGUGCGUGACAAACGUUUCGUCGACGUUUCCUAAAUUGCGCGCGUCCGUAUGCCUCUUCUGCAGAUAUACAAGUACGUAAUGAUCGCGACGACGAAAUAGGGAGAGAGAAACGAAGAAAAAGACGCAUCUCCUACGGUAUCGCGGUAAGGAACAAGGAACUCGUGUCGAGGUAACAAUUGUUACCAUGUGGAAGCGAAGCGAACGAAGUCAUUAUCAAAGACACGCGGAAGGAGGAGUACAGGUGUUUUGAAGGUAGCGAGAGAUUGGAGCGCCAACGUCCCGAGGGGUGAUUACGUCGGAACGGCGACGCUGAGCGCCCCUUGCCGUGUAAUUAACAUCGUUAAAACAUGGAUAUUAAAUAAAUUAUAAAUAAUUAUGUUCGACGGCGUUAACGACCAUCCUAGCCCAUAGCGAUGACGCUGCUUCGCUCGGCUACAUUUACGUUAUCGAUUGCAACGUCGAACACAGAGCUUGCGUCUCGACUUCUGUCUGGACUCGGAUCCUCGGCUUUAAAGUCCUGGUGAAUAUUUAUUCCGAUAUAUUCCGAAGCGACUCGGUCGGAGGCGACUCGCGAAUAACAUCUGCUAGACUUAAUCGAGAGUUAACGAGCGUCGCGCUGCUUUCGAUCGCCGUGAAAUCGGAUAAACAACGUUCUCGAUGUUUUUACGAGGUCAACCAGAAAUCUGGAAUUCGACGCGUGAAUCGCGAAGCUCGUCGUAAAGCUACCUACUACGACGUACUUCCGCGGAAUUAACGUCGAUAAAAAGCUACGAGCCGUUUUAUAACGUUCGCUGCCGCUAUAAAAAAAAUAACGUUCGCACGUAUCUCGCGACGAUGAACGCACUCGUAACGUAAACCGCGCAAGAGUCACACGGUGUCUCUGUAUCUGUCACCUAUUUUCGUGCGUGUGUUGGUGAAUCUUUCGAAACGAAUUAUCAUAAUCCCCGUAGUAACGCGACACGUCGUGUCGAUUCGCGGCUCGAGCCUUUGAAAAAUCUGGUUUCCUCGGUUACCGAUGGAAAGCUCGCGCGCCACCGUGCUCCAUCAUAAUCGUAAGAACUUUAAAAGUCGAUAAUGGCUCAAUAACGGGACCCAGUCGAGAGAGCGUACCGGUUUCUAAUCUCUGAAAAAGAUUAGGCAGCGGAGAAACAAGCCGAGAUCUGUCGGAUGGCAACUGCCAAUCGGAAUAUCUCGAUCGGCCAUUAUAAUUCAAAUGGGUCCAUUAAAUGUAUUCACGCGCUAUUAGAGCCGGCGCGGAUUUUCUCGCCUCUCACGGCCCGUUUUCUCGCGAUUGGCCUCGGCAAGGAUGUCGGGCGACGAAGUGCACCAUAUCGAUCCUCGCCUUAACGCCGUUUCCAUUAGGUUAACGACCCUAUCGCCUGAUAAACUAUUCACCAUGCGAAUAAUUGCGAUGCGAUUCCGUACGUUGCUUCGGCUAUCGUCUACCAGCCGUUUCAACAGUAACUACCGACCGAAGAUGGAGAGUCAUAAAUUCGCGUUCCUGCACCACGAUGUCGGACACGAGGCCUCCAUCAACGCCUCGUCGCGAUUCUCGUAAUUUCUCAUCGACGCUUGACGUAUAGCUAUCGGCGUUAACGACACUGUUCCAAUGACGUUAAUAAAAAGAUCGACUACUCUAUUACAACGGUAGCCAUUAAACGAGAAGCAAUCUGUCGACGAGCUGAAUAGCUCAAUUGGUCGGGCCGGUUGUCCGACAAAUAGAUGAUUUUGAUUUAGAAUCUACUUUGACUCUGUAGAUCGCUCCAAUGUCUUCUAUCUAAACUUUCAACGAUCGAGCAUUCACUCGACGAUUGAUAGAUACUGCUAAGCGAGAUUUAUCCUAAGGGACAGAGCUCUGACACGCCAGCAGCUUCGUCGAAAGUCGGACGCCGAGUGGACAGAGGUUCCAGCAGCGAGCAGCACGGAGGGUUGAAACGAAUCCAACUGGUGUUACCCCGUAACCGCAGAGUGGCGCCCGCUAACGGAGACGCCUGGAAACAUCAGGCGUCCCGGCGUCCAUGGUUCCCCGGAUUGCCACCAGAUCGAGAUACGACUUUGCUUCUAAUCGUGACACGGGGUAUAUAUCACGCGCCGAUAAAACAGGAUCGUCGAUCCGGCUCGCCGUCAACACUUGCUCCCGGCAUCGAGUGCGAUAGAAAGACGGUGGAAACACGGGCAAAACGAGUAAAGUGUCAUCGAUAUCGUUUCGUCUGCGACAAGAAGAGUAUCGGGACCACCGUGAAUGACACGAAUCUACGCGGCGACAAGUGCAUACAAUGGUAUCCUGACCGGAUAUACGGCGAGGAAUGAGGAGCGUGGAGAGAGAGAAACGUUCUCUUUAACCAGCAGCCACUUCAACCAACUUAACCAUCGCUGACUCGUUAUAGCAUAACGGUUCGGCAGUCGACAAAGGUGCGAGAUCGCCCCAAUCGAAGCAACGUCCUCGAUUAUCACGCGUUCACAGCUUUAUAAAGGCCCGAAAAGCGCGACAGAGGGUGUGCGAUGAGUGAACCAGAGCAGAACAGGACGAAAGCGUAAAAAAGAAUACAGAAGGGGUGAAAUCGGCGACCCUGUCGAUUCGAAGAGAUUUGAGGCUCGUAACGAGGGUGCAGAGGAUCAGGGGGCAUCUGUCAAACAGUGUCUUUGAAAAUAAAAAAAAUGCAGUCUCAAA